rnacentral:tRNA from 2 species
GGGGCUGUAGCUCAGUUGGGAGAGCGCUUGACUGGCAGUCAAGAGGUCGACGGUUCGAUCCCGUUCAGCUCCACCA